rnacentral:snRNA from 1 species
CUUUAUUUUCAGCCUUUUGGCUAAGAUCAAGUGGAGGAUCUGUUCUUAUCAGUUUCAUACCUGAUAUGUCCUCUAUCCAAGGACAAUGCAUUAAAUGGAUUUUAGGANCCCGCCCCAGUACAGAGCUUCAAACUUGGGAUGGCUGGGAAUGCAAGCUGGUGCAGCCACU